GGGUUGUGAGGUUAAGCGACUAAGCGUACACGGUGGAUGCCCUGGCAGUCAGAGGCGAUGAAGGACGUGCUAAUCUGCGAAAAGCGUCGGUAAGGUGAUAUGAACCGUUACAGCCGGCGAUGUCCGAAUGGGGAAACCCAGUGCAAUUCGUUGCACUAUCGUUAACUGAAUACAUAGGUUAACGAGGCGAACCGGGGGAACUGAAACAUCUAAGUACCCCGAGGAAAAGAAAUCAACCGAGAUUCCCCCAGUAGCGGCGAGCGAACGGGGAGCAGCCCAGAGUCUGAAUCAGCUUGUGUGUUAGUGGAACGGUCUGGAAAGUCCGACGGUACAGGGUGAUAGUCCCGUACACCAAAAUGCACAGGCUGUGAACUCGAAGAGUAGGGCGGGACACGUGGUAUCCUGUCUGAAUAUGGGGGGACCAUCCUCCAAGGCUAAAUACUCCUGACUGACCGAUAGUGAACCAGUACCGUGAGGGAAAGGCGAAAAGAACCCCGGCGAGGGGAGUGAAAAAGAACCUGAAACCGUGUACGUACAAGCAGUGGGAGCACCUUCGGGUGUGACUGCGUACCUUUUGUAUAAUGGGUCAGCGACUUAUAUUCUGUAGCAAGGUUAACCGUAUAGGGGAGCCGCAGGGAAACCGAGUCUUAACUGGGCGUUAAGUUGCAGGGUAUAGACCCGAAACCCGGUGAUCUAGCCAUGGGCAGGUUGAAGGUUGGGUAACACUAACUGGAGGACCGAACCGACUAAUGUUGAAAAAUUAGCGGAUGACUUGUGGCUGGGGGUGAAAGGCCAAUCAAACCGGGAGAUAGCUGGUUCUCCCCGAAAGCUAUUUAGGUAGCGCCUCGUGAACUCAUCUUCGGGGGUAGAGCACUGUUUCGGCUAGGGGGUCAUCCCGACUUACCAACCCGAUGCAAACUACGAAUACCGAAGAAUGUUAUCACGGGAGACACACGGCGGGUGCUAACGUCCGUCGUGAAGAGGGAAACAACCCAGACCGCCAGCUAAGGUCCCAAAGUCAUGGUUAAGUGGGAAACGAUGUGGGAAGGCACAGACAGCCAGGAUGUUGGCUUAGAAGCAGCCAUCAUUUAAAGAAAGCGUAAUAGCUCACUGGUCGAGUCGGCCUGCGCGGAAGAUGUAACGGGGCUAAACCAUGCACCGAAGCUGCGGCAGCGACGCUUAUGCGUUGUUGGGUAGGGGAGCGUUCUGUAAGCCUGCGAAGGUGGCCUGUGAGGGCUGCUGGAGGUAUCAGAAGUGCGAAUGCUGACAUAAGUAACGAUAAAGCGGGUGAAAAGCCCGCUCGCCGGAAGACCAAGGGUUCCUGUCCAACGUUAAUCGGGGCAGGGUGAGUCGACCCCUAAGGCGAGGCCGAAAGGCGUAGUCGAUGGGAAACAGGUUAAUAUUCCUGUACUUGGUGUUACUGCGAAGGGGGGACGGAGAAGGCUAUGUUAGCCGGGCGACGGUUGUCCCGGUUUAAGCAUGUAGGCUGGUUAUCCAGGCAAAUCCGGAUAAUCAAGGCUGAGGUGUGAUGACGAGGCACUACGGUGCUGAAGUAACAAAUGCCCUGCUUCCAGGAAAAGCCUCUAAGCAUCAGGUAACAUCAAAUCGUACCCCAAACCGACACAGGUGGUCAGGUAGAGAAUACCAAGGCGCUUGAGAGAACUCGGGUGAAGGAACUAGGCAAAAUGGUGCCGUAACUUCGGGAGAAGGCACGCUGGUGUGUAGGUGAAGUCCCUGCGGAUGGAGCUGAGACCAGUCGAAGAUACCAGCUGGCUGCAACUGUUUAUUAAAACACAGCACUGUGCAAACACGAAAGUGGACGUAUACGGUGUGACGCCUGCCCGGUGCCGGAAGGUUAAUUGAUGGGGUUAUCCGUAAGGAGAAGCUCUUGAUCGAAGCCCCGGUAAACGGCGGCCGUAACUAUAACGGUCCUAAGGUAGCGAAAUUCCUUGUCGGGUAAGUUCCGACCUGCACGAAUGGCGUAAUGAUGGCCAGGCUGUCUCCACCCGAGACUCAGUGAAAUUGAACUCGCUGUGAAGAUGCAGUGUACCCGCGGCAAGACGGAAAGACCCCGUGAACCUUUACUAUAGCUUGACACUGAACAUUGAGCCUUGAUGUGUAGGAUAGGUGGGAGGCUUUGAAGCGUGGACGCCAGUCUGCGUGGAGCCAACCUUGAAAUACCACCCUUUAAUGUUUGAUGUUCUAACGUUGGCCCCUUACCGGGGUUGCGGACAGUGUCUGGUGGGUAGUUUGACUGGGGCGGUCUCCUCCCAAAGCGUAACGGAGGAGCACGAAGGUUAGCUAAUCCUGGUCGGACAUCAGGAGGUUAGUGCAAUGGCAUAAGCUAGCUUGACUGCGAGCGUGACGGCGCGAGCAGGUGCGAAAGCAGGUCAUAGUGAUCCGGUGGUUCUGAAUGGAAGGGCCAUCGCUCAACGGAUAAAAGGUACUCCGGGGAUAACAGGCUGAUACCGCCCAAGAGUUCAUAUCGACGGCGGUGUUUGGCACCUCGAUGUCGGCUCAUCACAUCCUGGGGCUGAAGUAGGUCCCAAGGGUAUGGCUGUUCGCCAUUUAAAGUGGUACGCGAGCUGGGUUUAGAACGUCGUGAGACAGUUCGGUCCCUAUCUGCCGUGGGCGCUGGAGAAUUGAGGGGGGCUGCUCCUAGUACGAGAGGACCGGAGUGGACGCAUCACUGGUGUUCGGGUUGUCAUGCCAAUGGCACUGCCCGGUAGCUAAAUGCGGAAGAGAUAAGUGCUGAAAGCAUCUAAGCACGAAACUUGCCCCGAGAUGAGUUCUCCCUGAGACUUUAAGUCUCCUGAAGGAACGUUAAAGACGAUGACGUUGAUAGGCCGGGUGUGUAAGCGCAGCGAUGCGUUGAGCUAACCGGUACUAAUGAACCGUGAGGCUUAACCUUACAACGCCGAAG
rnacentral:rRNA from 1 species